rnacentral:misc_RNA from 1 species
AACGCACCUUGCGCUCCUUGGUAUUCCGAGGAGCAUGCCUGUUUGAGUGUCAUGGUAUUCUCAAUUCUCUCAACUUUUGUUGUCAGAAUUGGACUUGGAGGUAUGCCGGUGUUUUAAUCAACAUCAGCUCCUCUGAAAUGUAUUAGUGUGAAUGUGUUGCACAUUUUUCAGUGUGAUAAUUAUCUGCGCUGUAGAUGUUGUAACAAAAUUUAUAGUUCAUGCUUCUAACCGUCUGUUUACUCAGACAAACUUAUAUACUUUGAAAUCUGACCUCAAAUCAGGUAGGACUACCCGCUGAACUUAA